UAUUGUUUCCAUUAACUUUAUUUGGUUAACAUUUAGCUAAAAUGCAGUUAAUGCAGAAAAUAUUUACUUCUUUCACAAUUUAUAUAGACUUUUACAGUCUUUAAUGGUAAUAAAAUUCAGGAGUUGUAACCAUCAACUCUGUUGUGUUGGGUGGGUUUCAUUUUAUUAAUAAUUCAGAACCUUGCAACCCAGUAUUUUUGAAGAAGCUUUAUCAGAGUGGCAGACUUUUCCACCUUUCCACACCGCAUACGCCUCUGGUGAAAAAAGCUUUAUU